AGGGCGGAAAUACGCAACGGGGGCUUCCGGUGACCGCGCAGCCGCCCAACGCAGCGGAAUGGAGGAGGUCCCUCAUGACUGUCCCGGAACCGGCAGCGCCCAGGCGGGCCGAGGGGCCUCAUGUCAGGGGUGCCCCAACCAGCGGCUUUGCGCAUCUGGAGCUGGUGCCGCUCCGGACCCGGCCAUAGAGGAAAUCAAAGAGAAGAUGAAGAGUGUGAAACACAAGAUCUUGGUGCUGUCUGGGAAAGGUGGUGUUGGGAAAAGCACAUUCAGUGCCCACCUGGCCCACGGCCUAGCGGAGGAUGAAAACACACAGGUUGCUCUUCUAGACAUUGACAUAUGCGGGCCGUCAAUUCCCAAGAUAAUGGGAUUGGAAGGCGAGCAGGUUCACCAGAGCGGCUCAGGCUGGUCUCCAGUGUUCCUGGAAGACAACUUGGGGGUGAUGUCGGUGGGUUUCUUGCUCAGCAGUCCCGACGACGCUGUCAUCUGGAGGGGACCAAAGAAAAAUGGCAUGAUCAAGCAGUUCCUCCGCGACGUGGACUGGGGUGAGGUCGACUACCUCAUCGUGGACACCCCGCCCGGGACGUCGGACGAACACCUGUCGGCCGUCCAGUACCUGGCCGCGGCACACAUCGACGGGGCGGUGAUCAUCACCACCCCGCAGGAGGUGUCGCUCCAGGACGUCCGCAAAGAGAUCAGCUUCUGCCGCAAGGUGAAGCUGCCGGUCCUCGGGGUGGUGGAGAACAUGACCAGCUUCGUCUGCCCCAAGUGCCAGAAAGAGUCUCAGAUCUUCCCACCAACGACAGGGGGCGCGGAGGUCAUGUGCCAGGAUCUACAGGUCCCGCUCCUCGGCAGAGUGCCCCUUGACCCGCGCAUAGGUAAAAGUUGCGACAAAGGACAGUCUUUUUUCGUUGAAGCACCGGAUUCACCAGCUACUGUAGCCUACAGAAGUAUAAUUCAGAGUAAGUGUUCAAGAAUCCAGGACUUUUGUAGCCUGCGUCAGCCGAAGGGAGAGGACCACGUCAGUUCCUGAAACACAGGAGGACGCGGAGGACACAAGCAGCACGUCUGUCCCACCUGAGCAGCUCGGGCACGAGAACAUGUAUGUAAAGGGCGUUCUUUACAGAUGUGCCAUUUUAAAAAUAAAAACACCUCAUCAAACCUCUGCCCCGAAACCUACCUCACGUGGAAAACCAGUGGCCUGCGGGUCAUGUAAGAAGCUCACCUGAUUACAGAACCUCUCACUGAAGCCUUCACUGCCUCGGAAAAUCAGCCUUAAAAAGAACCAAAAGGAUGAAUGCGUGGCUUCGCUGCAGAUACAUACAGUCAGGGUAGUGCAAACCGUGUCCUCAGAUGGAGGAGAAAUAAAGGCGGCGCUGGAGCCUCACGCUGGGGCUUGUUCUGAGCUCAGUGCACACGAUGCGGUGGGGCUGUGCUCGGAAAUUUCCCCUGUGAGCAGACCUGGGGGGAUGCGUUGACACCCUCUAUCUGAAUGUGUGUCCACUGUAUCCAGUCAUUUCCAGUGUCGGACGAGACAGUUACAGGGUUCUUUAAAUGGAAGGAGGGAGACGCAGACUCUGGGACGAUUCUCGUUGCCAUGAGACGCUCACUCGGUGUUUGAGACACAGGAACCGAGACCAGCUGAGGGAAGAAUAAAUUCCUGUUUCCCACCUUGUCCUGGGCACGGAAGUGGAAGGGCAGGCAAAUCCCCUUGUCCUUUCCCUCCCAGCCUCUUAGCGGCCCCCCACACCUCCCCCAAGCCUGCACAGGGUGGAACCUGCACGUGUUCAAGGCAAGGAAGUUGGGAUCCCUCUGAAGAACCUCCGGGCUGCACAGCCCGGGAAGGCGCGGUGCACAGGCUGGUUCCCCGGGCUACUCGCUCAGCCAUGCGGGGCCCUGGGGGGAGCCCACCCACACCACAGGCGCAGUUGAGCCCAGGGGGAGCUGCACUUCCAAAGCCCCCAAGCCCUGCACCGUCAGACUGCCACCUCCAUCCCACCUCUUACCUAAUGCUUGUGAAUCUCCAGGCCCUCGAGGCCAGGCUUCUGAAAGUCGCCUGGGCUGGCCUGCAAGGGAAAGCGUCAGUCCUGACUCUGUCUCACCUGUGAGUGGCCUCGUCCUGCCGAUUCGAGGCCAGAGCAAACCCACAAUGAACUGACGGCCUGCAGGGCUGCUUCUCCAGGUCUUGGCAUAAAGCCGCACCGUUCACAUUUAAGUCAGUUCAAACCAUUCCAGGAUGAGCUGGGUCAAAUUUAAAAGAUCUGUUUCUUACACCUAGAAAUAUAGUUGGUGAAAACAUUUUGUUUAUGGUUUACUGUGUGAUUCCACUUAUGGGAGGUCCCUAGAGUAGUCAGAUUCAUGGGGACAGAAAGUAGACGGUGGGGCUGCCAGGAGCUUGGGCGCCAGGGUGGAGAACGGGAGUUCAGUGGGUCCAGAGUUUCCGUCUGGGAAGAUGAAAGAGUUCUGGUGACAUGACAAUGUGGAUCUACUGAACCAUAUGCUUAAAAAUGGUUAAAAUGGUAAAUUUCAUGCUGUGUAUGUUUUACCACAAUUAAAAAAAAAAGCCAAUAGCAGCCUGGCUAAUAUGAAAAACAUUAAACUGCAGUUGCCAACAGGC